AUUCAAAGAUUAAAAAAAGGAAUAUUAGCAUUUAUGAUGAUACUCGAGUAAAAUAGUAUUAUUGUCUAUAUGUCUCUUAGAAGGUUGUGGUAACCCGUGUCUGAACUGCUUAAUGGAUAAAUGACUUUGUAUAAUUGCCAGGAUGUUUGGGAGAAGGAGAGUAUCAGAUGGUA